rnacentral:rRNA from 1 species
UACGUAGGGGGGCAAGCGUUGUUCGGAUUUACUGGGCGUAAAGGGCGCGUAGGCGGUCGUGACAAGUCACUUGUGAAAUCUCCGGGCUUAACUCGGAACGGUCAAGUGAUACUGUCGGACUAGAGUACAGAAGGGGCAACUGGAAUUCUCGGUGUAGCGGUGAAAUGCGUAGAUAUCGAGAGGAACACCUGCGGCGAAGGCGGGUUGCUGGGCUGAUACUGACGCUGAGACGCGAAAGCUAGGGGAGCGAACAGG